AUUUCAUCUGUCGCCCCAUCCAAAUCUGAGCUUGGAGGCAAUGAAGAGAUCAUGAACCUUACUCGCAAAGUAGAUGAGGAGCAUCAGGAAGUUUAAAGAGAAACCAACAUAUUUUUACAGCAUUAGGUAUAAGAUUUCCUGAUUCUGAGAUACGACUAAAAAAGAUAUGUAAACAAAAGAUGGCACAGCAGGAAACAGGAUUACACAGAAUGCAUAGGGCAUCUACCUGCUGACCAUCAGAAAAAAACCUGGUACUAAAUUGUCCUGUAUGCUCACCUAAUGGAUUGCAAUGGACACAACUAAAGAAGACACUUUAUUAAGAAAAGGAUUAUUCAACAGGCAUCUAAUACAACAUAACAAUAUCUGCACAUAGGGACUUGCCCAUGCUACAUGUUAAAGUCCAGUUAAAGGAAUUGCUCCCAUAAAUGCCCCUUCCCAUGAGUGCUUAUGCCCCACAGGUAGUGUAACACCAUCCAAAGUACCUCUGCCUUUGCAUAAUUGCAUAAUUAGCUACUGCAAGACUAUUUUUCUUUAGAAAACUCAGACACUGGGAUAAUUUGGGUACUAAAAAAUUUCAAUAGCUGAUGAUUUGCAGACAAUUUUAAUACACUGUAAUAAACUGACACCUUUGUUUCUGA